GGGGUCUGGAAGGUUCAAUGUAGAAUUUUCCACAAAUGGGAAAUGUUCAAGGUGGGGUCUGGAAUCAUGACAGUUGAUCAAGUGAAGCGAAGGAAGAGACAAGCGUUUACCUGAGCAGACACCCGCCCUUCUCACACACAGAAUUUGUGAAGAUUCAAACACUAAGCCUAGUAAAUACAUGAAACAAAGUCUUCCCUUUAGCAUGUUAUUGAUCCUUGUGAUGCUUGUGAGAGUCAGUUUUAAAGACCUGUUUUGAAGUUCAAGAAAUUAAGCAUUCCUUGGAUAGUGUAUUAAUAACAGCACAGCAGUUUCUAACAGUAUCAGUAUAUUGGGUCAUGUAGACCUUUGGGGCAAUAAUUUUAUAUUAUUUGACCUUUUAGUAUGCAUAUUUACAUCGCAGCAAUAUGUAGCAUGCUCUGGAUUGCAAAGUAAUACAAAUUCCAUGUUAGUCAAAAUAUUUUCACCGGUUCAUUCUGGAUAUUCACAGUGACAGAUAGCUCCCUGAUUCACUACUGCUCGCCUCUCUGAUCCUGAAACAAGGCAGGGACUAGGAAACACGAAUGAAAAAGGUGUUUUGAUGAAAGGUAUUCUAAGCAAUGGAUGUUUUCGGGAGUUUUCAUGCCAGUUGGCUAAGCGUUUUAAUUGACUUUAACAGAAAUUCAGUAUCAAGCAACUUAUUUGAGAUGAGAUAUGUGAAGGCAUUGGUGAACAGUCAUUUAUUAUUUGUGCAUGUUGAAUAGAGAUCAUCAGAAUCUUAUUCUUAAUGAGUUUCAAAGUUUAAUUGUAUGUUGAAGUUGUGUCCUCUGCUAGUAAAUGUGAUUUGCUUCUAUUUUUCAACAAGUGAAAGUAAAUGAUACUGAAUUUCGCCAUAGACUUUUCCUAAAUAAAGCAAUUCCUGGUGGCAUUACAAUGCAAAGGCAUAAUUUUAUUGACAUUGAAAAAUGAUUUUUUAUAAAGUAACUGACAUUAAAAGAGAAAUUAGCAUUCCAUUUCCCCCUCUUUAGACUCUUUGUAGCAAAUUCUGCUCUAGAGGCAAAUUAAGACUGAUCCCUUUUAAUUUAGCAACUUUGGGAAAAGGAGGUUUCUUGAACUUUCCUUCCCAGUGGAGAACGUCGUGGAUCCUUUUCCUUUCCUGGGAUUUUUGCAGUUGCUGAAACAUGGCGUGUGGAGCCACAGAUGGUAUUGCACAUUUCCUCUUAGUAGGCUCAUCUUUUUGAAGGAAAUCAGAGUAAAGAUGACUGGUUUCUUGAGCUCCUUUUUGUCAUUGUACUGUAAGACUAUGUGUUGCUUCUUUUAAGAGUGCUUCCCUGAUAUUGGAGCCAAGGCAGGCUCCCAUUGCUUCUCAGAACCCUGGCCUUGUUUUUGCUUCCGUGUCCCUCUUCCGUGGUCUUAUUUGGUAUCUGAGUUCAUUUCAGUUGCUCCUUGUUGAGUCCUUGUCUUCCCUGUCUAGACUGUAGAGUCCAUGAGAAAAAGGGUCUUGACUGCCGUGUUUACUCAUGAUUUUCUAGCAUCUUGACUGGUGCUUAGCACAUAGUAGGUGCUGGAUAAAUCUUUGUUGAGUAAAUAAAUGGUUGUGCCCAAACCCCACAUUCCCCAAAAUACUUAAGUAAGCAUCUCCGUGGGUAUCAAUGGGGUAUGCCAAGAUCUGUACCUGUGUUUGUGCCAUAUGUAUGUGGUUAAGCUUCUCUCUUUUGAUAUGAAAGCUAGCCCUGUUUUGUGUAGUGACAACUCAGAGUUAUUUCUGUGAGUUCUUCCUGGGGGCAUUUGCCUUGAGUACCUGGAAAUCCUCAGAAACAGUUUGUCUUACAUGUUACCUUCAUUCCCUGAAGACACUGACCUUCAACUCCCUGGGUUUCAGCAGAAUCUUUAUGAGUUCCAGAGGCAUUGUCAGUGCUGAGAGUGAGAUUCCAGGGAACAGACAUCACUGGAUGAUAGCAAUGCCUUCUCACUCAGCAGGUUCUGGCAGUGCCUUUGGCCUUGGCAGCCCCAAGGGGACCAAGGGCGUGUGGUGGUGUCGCUGGCCUGCAAAAGUAGCUGUUGGGGAAGGGGCGAAUGGGACUGUCAAGACCCAGCACACGAUACCCUUGCUGGUAGAUUAGGCUGCUACCCUACGUGCUACAAAGAUUUGUGUACCUACUGUGUGCCUGGCCCCUCUGGUUGCUCUGCAGCUCAGCUACAGCCUAGUAAACUGUGAGACACUAGACAGAUGUUAAUGCAGAGAAAUUCUGAAAUGGUCUCCACUGUGAUGGAACGGAAUGCCUGUUGGGGUCCCUCACAUGGCCCCCCUAGAUGAAAUAAACUUCUUUUAAUCUGA